rnacentral:rRNA from 1 species
UACGAAGGGUGCUAGCGUUGUUCGGAAUCACUGGGCGUAAAGCGCGCGUAGGCGGCGAUACAAGUCAGAGGUGAAAGCCUGGAGCUCAACUCCAGAAUUGCCUUUGAAACUGUAUUGCUAGAGUGUCGGAGGGGAUAGCGGAAUUCCUAAUGUAGAGGUGAAAUUCGUAGAUAUUAGGAGGAACACCGGUGGCGAAGGCGGCUAUCUGGACGACAACUGACGCUGAGGCGCGAAAGCGUGGGGAUCAAACAGG